GCGGCCGUGGCGGAAUCGGUAGACGCGCUAGCUUGAGGUGCUAGUCCUCGAAAGGGGGUGGAGGUUCAAAUCCUCUCGGCCGCA
rnacentral:tRNA from 1 species